AAUACCGGAUGCUUGUUUGAACCGCAUGGUUCAAACAUAAAAGGUGGCUUCGGCUACCACUUACAGAUGGACCCGCGGCGCAUUAGCUAGUUGGUGAGGUAAUGGCUCACCAAGGCAACGAUGCGUAGCCGACCUGAGAGGGUGAUCGGCCACACUGGGACUGAGACACGGCCCAGACUCCUACGGGAGGCAGCAGUAGGGAAUCUUCCGCAAUGGACGAAAGUCUGACGGAGCAACGCCGCGUGAGUGAUGAAGGUUUUCGGAUCGUAAAGCUCUGUUGUUAGGGAAGAACAAGUACCGUUCGAAUAGGGCGGUACCUU
rnacentral:rRNA from 1 species